rnacentral:rRNA from 1 species
AAUACAGACACUUCAAGCGUUAUCCGGUUUUACUGGGCGUAAAGCGUACCGAUAGGUGGUUUAAUGUGUCUAAAGUGAAAGACCGAAGCCUAACUUCGAGUUUGCUUUAGAAACUAUUAAACUUGAGGAACAAAGAGGUAGUUGGAACUUUGCAAGUAGGGGUGAAAUCCGUUGAUAUGCAAGGGAACGCCGAAUGAGAAGUCAGACUACUAGUUGUUUCCUGACACUGCUAGGACGAAAGCACGGGGAGAGAAUGGGAUUAGAUACCCCAGUAUUCCGUGCCGUAAACGAUGAGUGCUAGUUAUUAGCCUUUUUUAAGGUUAGUGACUAAGUUAACACUUUAAGCACUCCGCCUGUAAAGUACGAGCGCAAGCUUAAAACAUAAAGGAAUUGACGGGAACCCGCACAAGUAGUGGAUCAUGUGGCUUAAUUCGAUAGUAAGCGAGGAACCUCACCUAGGUUUGACAUGCUUUAGAAAGUCUUUGGAAACUUAGACCCUCCUUCGGGACUACUGCACAGGUGAUGCACGGCCGUCGUCAGCUCGUGUCGUGAGAUGUUCGGUUAAGUCCGGUAACGAGCGAAACCCCAAUCUUUAGUUAUUUAAUGUCUAAAGAGACUGCUAGAGUUUAAUCUAGAGGAAGGAUGGGACGAUGUCAGGUCAGCGUGUCCCUUAUGCUUAGGGCGGCACACAUGGUACAAUGGGCAAGGUACAACGAGACAGCAAUAGGGUGACCUUGAGCAAAUCUUUAAAACCUCCCUCAGUUCGGAUCGAAGUCUGCAAUUCGACUUCGUGAAGCUGGAAUUACUAGUAAUCGCGAAUCACCUCGUCGCGGUGAAUCGUUCU